CGCUCUGUCUCGUCUGGGAAGAUCUCCGUUGCCAGGGCUUGCUGGACCCGCCCCCGCACAGCUUCCCAGCAGUCCCGAUUCCGCCUGAGGCUCCAGAAGGCGAAGCUGUACAGGAGGCCACUUUUCUUCUCAGCCUAGAACUCGAGAGACCUGAAAGGAAGGACGACUGGCCACAGGAGAUGUUUCACAGAGCCGCUGAAUGAACAACACAGUCAAUUCUGAUCAACUUUCCAGUGCUAUCUGGGUGUAAGUGAGUGGCCCUGGAGGUGGGUGCCUCUCCCCGGCGCAGUUUUUCCUUCCAUCACAAGCAUGGCUGAAGCUGGGUGGUGGUGCAUACAGAUUCCAGCCAGCAAGGAGGGGAAAGAGAGUUCAGAGGACUCACCUCCACUGUCCCCGACCCAGGCCUGUAGCAUCUAUAUUGGCUCCUCUCAGGUUCCACAGAAUUCCUCAAGAUGACUGAGGUUGGUCCCUGAAGAAACCAAAUUCAGUGUAAGAAAACCAACAUCACAAAGAGUCCCAACCAAGGUCCAGAGCAGCUUCCUAUUCUGAGUCUGUUGCCCUUGAAGAGAUGAACGGCCAGCAUCCAAAAGCAGUGAUAAAUUGCACCCAGAGGGCACUUCAAGAAAUGUGACUUGAUGAGGGUCUAAAGAUGAAGGCUGACAUUUAGAGCUUGUGAAUACAACUUCCACCUCCAUCUGUAAGCAGAAAAUAGUUCAUUAAAUAAAAGUCUGUCGGUAGUACAGCUUGAAAAUAAAGUCUGGUGUUUUAUUUGGCCCUGAA
rnacentral:lncRNA from 1 species